rnacentral:rRNA from 1 species
AUUGAACGCUGGCGGCAGGCCUAACACAUGCAAGUCGAGCGGAGCGGCGGACGGGUGAGUAAUGCCUAGGAAUCUGCCUGGUAGUGGGGGAUAACGUCCGGUAACGGGCGCUAAUACCGCUUACUCUCAGAUGAGCCUAGGUCGGAUUAGCGAGUUGGUGGGGUAAAGGCCUACCAAGGCGACGAUCCGUAACUGGUCUGAGAGGAUGAUCAGUCACACUGGAACUGAGACACGGUCCAGACUCCUACGGGAGGCAGCAGUGGGGAAUAUUGGACAAUGGGCGAAAUCCUGAUCCAGCCAUGCCGCGUGUGUGAAGAAGGUCUUCGGAUUGUAAAGUACUUUCAGUAGGGAGGCGUUACCGGCAGAAGAAGCACCGGCUAACUCCGUGCCAGCAGCCGCGGUAAUUC